rnacentral:lncRNA from 12 species
AUGAGCAUUUCAGUACUAAAGAGGGCACCUUCUGGAAGCACUUCCCGACCUAUUCAUGAGAAUACUUAUAUGGCAUUCUGGGGCAACAGUCGAAUGCUUUGCAGCUUGCCUCCUGGAGUGUAUUGCCAAAUAGCACAGCACCUCCUCAUCUGCAUUCAGCCUACAGUGCACACAGCAGCACAUGACAGGCAUCACUUACAUUGCCAGUGGCCGGAAGGAUACACUUCUAGAAGUCUAAUUCCAACACUGGAGGAUCUGUGCAUGUUUUCUGUAGAUGGAUUCCCUUCCGGCACCCGUACCACUUCAUUCAUCUGCUCACCGCAGUGAGUGCAACAGUGACUCAGAGCUCUUUGCAUGUUACUUAUUUUAGUUCUCAGAAUACUCUGACAUAAAAAGCACUAAUCCUUAUUUUCAUCAGCUGAGAACUACAAGCUCCAGAGAUGGGAAGUAAACUUGCAUUUAAUAUAACUGCACUAACGAAGCUUGAGUUUUAGCUAUCGCACAGUCCCAUGCUCUUUCUACAGUUGGGACUUUGCAGACUCCACAUCCCUGUCUAGCUUUGCCGUUAGUUUAAAGUCUUGGGGAAAUGGCAGUCAACUUCAUGGAUCUGUUUUCAUUUUCUAUAAAAUCUGGUUGGACCACAUUAUCUUAAGGACCUCUUUAGCUUUAAAUUUUCAGUGUAUUUUGGGGUAUAUCUUACUAAUAUGUAUGAAUAUUCUAAAAGUAUCAGUCAUAUCACUUAUAAAGAGUACUGAGUGUAGGCUUUCCUCUUGUUUGUUCUACUUCAUUUUACAAACGGAGAAAGGAUUUGAACUAGGGUUAACUUUAAUAAUAAUGUUAGUAUUAUAAAUAAGCUUGUUCAGCAUUUGUGUGCUAAGCACUGCUCACCCUUUGGAGUGUUUAUCUGCAUUAUUUUAUAUUGCUGUCCCUGCAGUAUACAUGAUGGAUGGUAACUAUCUUCCAGAAAAGAAUAAUGGCAAGAAGGGCAGGUAACCUGCCCAGGGUCUUAUAGUGCAUAGUAUUUGAACUGAAACUAUCGUUCUUGAGACCAAGCUUGGAAGCAUUACUUCUUUCAUUGGGGGGUAUAUCCUGGAGUGAAGGGAAUAAAAGUGAUUCCUCUGUCUAGCA